AUACGGAGGGUGCAAGCGUUAAUCGGAAUCACUGGGCGUAAAGCGCGCGUAGGUGGAUCAAUUAGUUGAGGGUGAAAUCCCGGGGCUCAACCUCGGAACUGCCUUCAAUACUGUUGAUCUUGAGACCGAGAGAGGUGAGUGGAAUUCCUAGUGUAGAGGUGAAAUUCGUAGAUAUUAGGAAGAACACCAGUGGCGAAGGCGGCUCGCUGGCUCGGUACUGACGUUGAGGUGCGAAAGCGUGGGGAGCAAACAGGAUUAGAAACCCUAGUAGUCC
rnacentral:rRNA from 1 species